rnacentral:rRNA from 1 species
AUUGAACGCUGGCGGAAUGCUUUACACAUGCAAGUCGAACGGCAGCACGGACUUCGGUCUGGUGGCGAGUGGCGAACGGGUGAGUAACAUAUCGGAACGUAUCCAAUAAUGGGGGAUAACGAGUCGAAAGAUUCGCUAAUACCGCAUACGCCCUACGGGGGAAAGCUGGGGACCUUCGGGCCUGGCGUUAAUGGAGCGGCCGAUAUCUGAUUAGCUAGUUGGUGAGGUAAAGGCUCACCAAGGCGACGAUCAGUAGCUGGUCUGAGAGGACGACCAGCCACCCUGGAACUGAGACACGGUCCAGACUCCUACGGGAGGCAGCAGUGGGGAAGUUUGGACAAUGGGCGCAAGCCUGAUCCAGCCAUUCCGCGUGAGUGAAGAAGGCCUUCGGGUUGUAAAGCUCUUUCGCAAGGGAAGAAAACUUAGCCACUAACAUUGGUUGAGGUUGACGGUACCUUGAUAAGAAGCACCGGCUAACUACGUGCCAGCCGCCGCGGUAA